CGAUCCUAGCUUGCUAGGAGGCGUCGAGCGGCGGCACAGAGGUGAGUAAUGCAUAGGAAUCUGCCCGGUAGUGGGGGAUAACCUGGGGAAACCCAGGCUAAUACCGCAUACGCCCUACGGGGGAAAGCAGGGGAUCUUCGGACCUUGCGCUAUCGGAUGAGCCUAUGUCGGAUUAGCUAGUUGGUGAGGUAACGGCUCACCAAGGCUGCGAUCCGUAGCUGGUCUGAGAGGAUGAUCAGCCACAUCGGGACUGAGACACGGCCCGAACUCCUACGGGAGGCAGCAGUGGGGAAUAUUGGACAAUGGGCGAAAGCCUGAUCCAGCCAUGCCGCGUGUGUGAAGAAGGCCUUCGGGUUGUAAAGCACUUUCAGUGAGGAAGAAAGCCUUGAGGUUAAUACCCUCGAGGGAGGACAUCACUCACAGAAGAAGCACCGGCUAACUCCGUGCCAGCAGCCGCGGUAAUACGGAGGGUGCGAGCGUUAAUCGGAAUUACUGGGCGUAAAGCGCGCGUAGGCGGCUUGAUAAGCCGGUUGUGAAAGCCCCGGGCUCAACCUGGGAACGGCAUCCGGAACUGUCAGGCUAGAGUGCAGGAGAGGAAGGUAGAAUUCCCGGUGUAGCGGUGAAAUGCGUAGAGAUCGGGAGGAAUACCAGUGGCGAAGGCGGCCUUCUGGACUGACACUGACGCUGAGGUGCGAAAGCGUGGGUAGCAAACAGGAUUAGAUACCCUGGUAGUCCACGCCGUAAACGAUGUCGACUAGCCGUUGGGCUCCUUGAGAGCUUUGUGGCGCAGUUAACGCGAUAAGUCGACCGCCUGGGGAGUACGGCCGCAAGGUUAAAACUCAAAUGAAUUGACGGGGGCCCGCACAAGCGGUGGAGCAUGUGGUUUAAUUCGAUGCAACGCGAAGAACCUUACCUACCCUUGACAUCGAGAGAACUUUCCAGAGAUGGAUUGGUGCCUUCGGGAACUCUCAGACAGGUGCUGCAUGGCUGUCGUCAGCUCGUGUUGUGAAAUGUUGGGUUAAGUCCCGUAACGAGCGCAACCCUUGUCCCUAUUUGCCAGCGAUUCGGUCGGGAACUCUAGGGAGACUGCCCGGUGACAAACCGGGAGGAAGGUGGGGACGACGUCAAGUCAUC
rnacentral:rRNA from 1 species